rnacentral:rRNA from 1 species
ACUCCUACGGGAGGCAGCAGUAGGGAAUCUUCCACAAUGGGCGCAAGCCUGAUGGAGCAACACCGCGUGAGUGAAGAAGGGUUUCGGCUCGUAAAGCUCUGUUGUUAAAGAAGAACACGUAUGAGAGUAACUGUUCAUACGUUGACGGUAUUUAACCAGAAAGUCACGGCUAACUACGUGCCAGCAGCCGCGGUAAUACGUAGGUGGCAAGCGUUAUCCGGAUUUAUUGGGCGUAAAGAGAGUGCAGGCGGUUUUCUAAGUCUGAUGUGAAAGCCUUCGGCUUAACCGGAGAAGUGCAUCGGAAACUGGAUAACUUGAGUGCAGAAGAGGGUAGUGGAACUCCAUGUGUAGCGGUGGAAUGCGUAGAUAUAUGGAAGAACACCAGUGGCGAAGGCGGCUACCGGGUCUGCAACUGACGCUGAGACUCGAAAGCAUGGGUAGCGAACAGGAUUAGAUACCCUGGUAGGAUAGCG